AUUGAACGCUGGCAGCAGGCUUAACACAUGCAAGUCGAGCGGGGAAGGUUGCUUUGGUGACUGACCUAGCGGCGGACGGGUGAGUAAUGCUUAGGAAUCUGCCUAUUAGUGGGGGACAACAUUCCGAAAGGAAUGCUAAUACCGCAUACGCCCUACGGGGGAAAGCAGGGGAUCUUCGGACCUUGCGCUAAUAGAUGAGCCUAAGUCGGAUUAGCUAGUUGGUGGGGUAAAGGCCUACCAAGGCGACGAUCUGUAGCGGGUCUGAGAGGAUGAUCCGCCACACUGGGACUGAGACACGGCCCAGACUCCUACGGGAGGCAGCAGUGGGGAAUAUUGGACAAUGGGCAGAAGCCUGAUCCAGCCAUGCCGCGUGUGUGAAGAAGGCCUUUUGGUUGUAAAGCACUUUAAGCGAGGAGGAGGCUCUUUUGGUUAAUACCCAGAAUGAGUGGACGUUACUCGCAGAAUAAGCACCGGCUAACUCUGUGCCAGCCGCCGCGGUAAAAC
rnacentral:rRNA from 1 species